rnacentral:misc_RNA from 1 species
AACGCACAUUGCGCCCUGUGGUAUUCCGCAGGGCAUGCCUGUUCGAGCGUCAUUACAACCAAAAUUGAGCCUAGCUUAGUGUUGGGGUUCGCAGUUCUGCGGCCCUUAAUAUCAGUGGCGGUGCCUGUAGGCUCUGAGCGUAGUAAUUCUUCUCGCUAUAGAGCCCUAUAAGUAUCUUGCCAGAACCCCCAUAUUUUUUCAGGUUGACCUCGGAUCAGGUAGGGAUACCCGCUGAACUUAA